GUCCACACUGUAAACGAUGAUUACUCGCUGCUAGAGGGUAACUUUUAGUGGCUUAGCGAAAGCGAUAAGUAAUCCACCUGGGGAGUACGCCGGCAACGGUGAAACUCAAAGGAAUUGACGGGGGCCCGCACAAGCGGAGGAGCAUGUGGUUUAAUUCGAUGAUACGCGAGGAACCUUACCAGGGCUUGAAAGUUAGUGACCGCUCCUGAAAAGGGAGCUUCCCGCAAGGGCACAAAAACUAGGUGCUGCAUGGCUGUCGU
rnacentral:rRNA from 1 species